CCCCCCCCCCCCCACCCCAGGUUCAUAGUUGCUCCUACGCCCCUGAGAGGUACAACAAAGGGAUGAUCCAUCGCUCAGCAAUGCAAAUUAAGUUUCCCCAUAACUACCAAAUCGGAAGCUAACUUAAGCGUCGUAAACGUUAAGACCUUUUCAACUUGUUAAUAACCCUUAAUUUGCUAACUAACAGACUGGCCGGUGGUCUCACCCUUGCAGGCGCUGAUGAGGAAGUAGCCAUAGGGAGUGAUUCCACUAAAGGCCAGGUCCACCACAGGCCGGGUGUGACCAGAGCAGGUGAGUGGAGUCUGUCUCAUCGCCAUGGUCCUUCAGUUGGGCAGGAAACGGUUCGCACUGAGGAAAUAACGUUAGACUAUACAACGCUAACGGCUAGCUAGCUGGUAUGCUAGCGGGCUAAGAGACAGACAAGAACACAAACUGGCUAGCAGAGUGUUGACCUGUAGUUGGCUGCUGGUUGGAAUACAAAUGGCCAAUAAUUAACGUUAACUCCGUAGGUUUGUCAAACUAAUCGUCGGGUCUCCCUCCCAGCGAAGGACUGGCGAUCGUGCUAAUAGCUACAACAUUGCAACUAACUAGCAACGUGCAGCGCGGCGUAACUAUCGCAUAGAUGAUAUAGCCUAGCCAGUGUUCCGCUCGCCACAACAAAGGAUAAACGCAUCUCGGCUGAAUUGCUGCCCCCUAAAGGAAAUGAAUAGGCCUACCUGCUCUUCACACUUUUCUUCACACAGGCUACAAUAAGAAAAUGUUCCUCCUCACCUG